rnacentral:rRNA from 1 species
UACGUAGGGGGCGAGCGUUGUCCGGAUUCAUUGGGCGUAAAGAGCUCGUAGGCGGCUUGGCAAGUCGGGUGUGAAAUCUCUGGGCUUAACUCAGAGAGGCCACUCGAUACUGCUAUGGCUAGAGUCCGGUAGGGGACCAUGGAAUUCCUGGUGUAGCGGUGAAAUGCGCAGAUAUCAGGAGGAACACCAGUGGCGAAGGCGGCUCACUGGACCGGAACUGACGCUGAGGCGCGAAAGCGUGGGGAGCAAACAGG